GAUCAUCUCCAUGAGCCCCAGUCGGAUCACGGCCGCCUUGGUGUUGUCGCCAAAGCCCAGCCCAUCACAGAAGCCAGCCCCCACGGCCACUAUAUUCUUUGAAGAGUGAAGUCACGGGUCUGUCCAGGAUCCAGAGUUCUGGCCAUCAAUCCGUCUGGGUGUCCUGGACGUCUUAUCUCCCAUUAGCCUGAGUGCUCCCCCUGGGCAUCUCCUCUUCCCCCUGGACCAACCUUUGGAGCCAGGGACAGGGAUGUCCCACAAGGGGCUAUAGGGGAAAGGAAGAAGGAAGCCCAAUGUCUGAUGGUCCUCCCCUAUUCCAGUGCAGCCAAAGCUAGCUGUGAGGAGAGCAGAUAACAUGUGAAAACGAAUCCAUCUGAAAACUCUCCUUCCACAACCUACUUCUCCAAGGUGGCCCUUGAGCUGAUCACAGAUCUUGCCGAUGAACUGAUGGGGUACCACGAAGAUCAGGAUGUCAGCAUCCACUGCAGCCUGGACCACAUCUGGGACAGCCACCUGUGGGGGUGACCAGUGUUCAUGGGCCUGACGGACUGCUUCUAGCCCCUGUGGAGCCCCAUGCAGGAGAUCUAGGAGACAGGGAACAAAAUUAUGCCUACUACAGAGCCAGCCCCCCCAACGACCACUGUUAUUGCACUGGCACUGCGACAAAGGCACCAGUGCCAGGCUGCCGGCUGGGACCACUGAUUAUGGGUGAUGGAAGAGAAAGAAUGCUUCUGUCCCUGGCACACAGGAUGAGAACCCCAAAGAACGGAUGUUUGUGCAUAAAAUAACCUCUUGUGUUUGCC